rnacentral:rRNA from 1 species
CUACGGGUGGCCCCAGUGGGGAAUAUUGCACAAUGGGGGGAACCCUGAUGCAGCAACGCCGCGUGGAGGAUGACGCAUUUCGGUGUGUAAACUCCUUUUAUAUGUCAAGAAAAUGACGGUAGCAUAUGAAUAAGCACCGGCUAACUCCGUGCCAGCAGCCGCGGUAAUACGGAGGGUGCAAGCGUUACUCGGAAUCACUGGGCGUAAAGGACGCGUAGGCGGGCUUGUAAGUCAGGUGUGAAAUCCUACAGCUUAACUGUAGAACUGCACUUGAAACUACGAGCCUAGAGUAUGGGAGGGGGAGAUGGAAUUAGUGGUGUAGGGGUAAAAUCCGUAGAUAUCACUAGGAAUACCUAAAGCGAAGGCGAUCUCCUGGAACAUAACUGACGCUAAGGCGUGAAAGCGUGGGGAGCAAACAGGAUUAGAUACCCGUGUAGUC